AGAAUUGAAUAUUAUUACACAUCUUUUGCUCAUCGGAUUUUUGAAAAGAAUAACUUUACCGUCUUCUAUUUAACCUUGAAGGCUAUAAAAUAUCAAUUUUAUAUUGCAAAAUAUCUCUAGCGCAAAACACUUUAACAGUAAUGUUAAGAUAACAAAGGACAUUUCUAUAACAGAUAUUAUAUAAUAUUAUUGAUGCAAAUAAAAUGGAUACCGAUGAAAUGUCGGG